rnacentral:rRNA from 1 species
AUUGAACGCUGGCGGCAUGCCUUACACAUGCAAGUCGAACGGUAACAGGUCUUCGGUUGCUGACUAGUGGUGAACGGGUGCGUAAUACAUCGGAACGUGCCAGAUCGCUGUGGAUAACGAAGCGAUAGCUUUGCUAAUAUCGCAUACGAUCUACGGAUUAAAGCGGGGGAUCUUCGUACUUCGCGCGGGCGGAGCGGCCGCUGGCAGAUUAGGUAGUUGGUGGGAUAAAAGCUUACCAAGCCAACGAUCGGUAGCUGGUCUGAGAGGAUGAUCAGCCACACUGGGACUGAGACACGGCCCAGACUCCUACGGGAGGCAGCAGUGGGGAAUUUUGGGCAAUGGGCGAAAGCCUGACCCAGCAAUGCCGCGUGCAGGAUGAAGGCCUUCGGGUCGUAAACUUCUGUUGUACGGAACGAAAAGGUGCCUUCUAAUAAAGGGCGGUCAUGACGGUACCGUAAGAAUAAGCACCGGCUAACUACGUG